rnacentral:rRNA from 1 species
UACGUAGGGUGCGAGCGUUAAUCGGAAUUACUGGGCGUAAAGCGUGCGCAGGCGGUUGUGCAAGACAGAUGUGAAAUCCCCGGGCUUAACCUGGGAACUGCAUUUGUGACUGCACAGCUGGAGUGCGGCAGAGGGGGAUGGAAUUCCGCGUGUAGCAGUGAAAUGCGUAGAUAUGUGGAGGAAUACCGAUGGCGAAGGCAGCCCCCUGGGAUAACACUGACGCUCAUGCACGAAAGCGUGGGGAGCAAACAGG